rnacentral:rRNA from 1 species
AGCGAACGCUGGCGGCAGGCCUAACACAUGCAAGUCGAACGAAGUCUUCGAACUUAGUGGCGGACGGGUGAGUAACACGUGGGAACGUGCCUUUAGGUUCGGAAUAACUCAGGGAAACUUGUGCUAAUACCGAAUGUGCCCUUCGGGGGAAAGAUUUAUCGCCCUUAGAGCGGCCCGCGUCUGAUUAGCUAGUUGGUGAGGUAAAGGCUCACCAAGGCUACGAUCAGUAGCUGGUCUGAGAGGAUGACCAGCCACAUUGGGACUGAGACACGGCCCAAACUCCUACGGGAGGCAGCAGUGGGGAAUCUUGCGCAAUGGGCGAAAGCCUGACGCAGCCAUGCCGCGUGGAUGAUGAAGGUCUUAGGAUUGUAAAAUCCUUUCACCGGUAAAGAUAAUGACUGUAGCCGGAGAAGAAGCCCCGGCUAACUUCGUGCCAGCAGCCGCGGUAAGAC